rnacentral:sRNA from 7 species
CGACCAAGGUUCGAUUCGAGCGCAGCGAGAAAGCGUUGCCGCAGGCAACGACCCGAAGGGCGAAGCGCGCAGCGCUGAGUCAUCCUUCCCCCACCACCA